GGAAUUGUGGCUGAGUGGUACAGCAUCUGCUUUGUGUGCAAAGGGUCCCAAGUUCAGUCCCUGGCAUCUCCA
rnacentral:tRNA from 1 species